UCAGCAAAACAGCAAAGGUUUCUUCUAAUUACAGUUGGUAGAGGCCGUUCUGUUGAAUUGUUCUGAAGUCUAUUUGAAUAUUUGGGACGUGGGAAAUCUUGUGCCAGCGUUCACCCAUUUUGUUUCGCCAUCUCUCGUUCAGUCUUGAACAUGCAUGGAUGGAUAGAUACUGUAAUCCAGUGAGAUUUGCCAUCCACUCUGGUAAAGACAUCAAACUAUGACACCUUUCAAUUAUGAGACAUCGCAGCGCAGUUGCAUGUUGAAGCCCCUUUGGGAUAGCCACCAAUUCUGGAAUGCCAAUCAAUCGAAGAGUAUGGAGGCUUUUAAGGCCUUUCCAUUGCUCAUUGUCAUCAUUCUCAUCUUCGGAAGCAGCAGUAGUCAACCUCGAGCAAUCAAAAAUACAUACUUCUUGAAGAGAAGUGAAGCAUGGCAGCAACUCCUCUGGCAGAAAUUCAAAAUCCUCAAUUUCCCAAACCGUCAAGCUUUUCAACUGAGACCCAGCAUAGGAAAGUGGAGAAGAUGGAUCAAAAGAAGAAGAUGAGCUGGAAUUUGAUACCGAAAUUGUCAAGUUCAGUAUCUGCUCCAAUGAACUCAUGCUAGAUUUUUCCAAUCUCAGUCUCUCAAGAGAUGGUAAAGGUGGGAUUGAAGUCAGGUUACAGCAAGAGUGUAUCUCCAAAUCGGAAAGACAAGGCAAUGGAAGCAGUUCUGCUGCUGUUCUAUUAUCCCCGCUGCAUCUCCGCCAUCCCUUCAGAUUUGGGCAAUU
rnacentral:misc_RNA from 1 species